rfam:Dictyostelium fasciculatum unplaced genomic scaffold Scf_Dfasci-G-b-285a01.f1-5, whole genome shotgun sequence.
ACCUUCUCUCAGAGUUUCUGCUCUGAUCAUGUGUAGUAUCUGUUCUAGAAAGCUUAAUCUCUUUCUGUCUUGACACGUUCAAGACGAUAUGAUUAAACUAAUUUAUCGUGAGGGAUACAAACAUUAUGAUUGAGGCUUGCCUCUUUCGUUUGCAUCUGCAUCUGCCAUUUAUCGCACAACUUAAUGGAUUCAAAGGUGCUCCUCCA